AAAGUCUUAGUUUAUUUUUAGAAUUUAGAAUUGUAAAUUCUGGGGAUUAGAUU
rnacentral:tRNA from 1 species